ACCGCCGCUGCGCAGCCUGGAGCGCGAGCGACUCCGCCACCGUGACUCGAGCCAGCAGCCCAAAGCCCGCCGGGGAUCUGGUUACGGCGGAGGCCGGAGGGGCAGGCGUGGAGACGCCAACAGGGAGGGAGGCGACAGGGACACAAACAGGUAUCCUUGCCCAGGUAUGAGGCGGCGCGCGUGAGCGUCUGGAGGGAGGACUCCCAGGCCCGGUUCCAGCAUCCCCGGGAGAACGCCGAGUCCCGGUCCGCCGCCUACUCUUCCACUCUGGAUGGCCACCGGCCAAAUGGAAAGCUACGCGCAGACACCAUCCAGGAUCCCAAGGUGACAGUGAUCUUUGAAGUUCUAGACCGGUCAAUGACUGGCCAUCAGGGAUGCCAGUCACCAUGACAGACCUUUGACACUCACUGUCCCAUCGCCUGUCUUCAGAGAUGAAAUGAGAUCCAUUUUACAGUUCGUCUCAUGGAAUCUCUUCAAUGGCUCCUGGAUCACUCUACGGUGAUGGCCCUUACAGAGAUGGGGAGCAUCCAGACCACAGAACUCGUCUGUAGUGGAUUUGAAUCCAGAUAGACGGAACACAGCUGAGGAAUCUCAUCCAGGCUACAGCAUCACACAGAGUCGUCAUGUCCCUCGAGGCUGCGACAGUUUCUCCUAUUUCUGUUUUUCAUGACCUUUACAGUUUUGAAGGCCAUGGAGACCCGUGCUCUUUUAUGCAGGAGCUGCGCCUGCCCUGGGAACUUCCUGUGCAAAGGUGCAGGUCAAGACUGCCCAGUUGCCAUGGUGACGGCCUGCUUAAAGGAGGAUCUGUGCUAGGCACGGGACUAUCAGUCUUGACCUUGAGUCCAGAUUCAGCUGCCAGGGAUGGAGAAUUAUGAGUGCAAAUUGAUCAUCAUAACUGGCCACUAGUCUCUGACCCUCAAUCCUGCAUGCUUUGCAGAAACUUUCACAGAAAACCUUUUUGAUGAUGAAACCUAAUAAUAAACCUGCUGAGCUAGCUCUGGGUCAUUGUUCCUCCAACAGAGGACAGUGUCUCCCCCUGGCCCUAGCUUUUUCUCUAUGUGGGUGUCUGUCUUUUCUCAAUCCCCCACUACGCCUCACAGGUUUCUGAAUUAACAGCCGUGCUGAUUGCGGGGACAGUGUCACAGCAGUAGCUGGGAACUCGAGGCACAGAUGGGCCAAGGCUGACAAGAACAGCUUCUACAGCCUCCUGAGCAGCAGCAGCACCAUCCGCCAUUCCCUGGGCACCAGACUCAUCUCCUGUGGGAGAAGCUGGGCAGCACAGCUUGACCCUGGGCCUCCUGAUUCAAAGUUCAGCUCUGCCAGGUACUGGCUGGAUGACCUUGGCUGGAUGACCUUGGCUGGAUGACCUUGACCUUGAGCCUUGUGGAACCUCUCCAUAACACUGUUUUAUAUUUUUUGCUGGGGGGUGGGUGGUGGUACUGGGGAUUGAACUCAGGGGUAUUUUAUUUAGAGACAGGAUCUCACUGAGCUGCUUAGGGCCUUGCUUUUGCUGAGGCUGGCUUUGAACUUGCGGCCCUCAGCCCCCCAGCCCCAGGCAUUACAGCCCCUGUAUGUGUUUGGACUCCUGGCCCAGGGCACCUUCUGUUCACCCUUAACCUUUGCAGUGUCUUUCCAUUUUCUGGGCCCACGCCAAGACUGGGGAGACGUCUCUCUUCCCCAGGGUGGGCCAUGACAUUGAAAUGUCCUGCACCUGCCCUUGGCUUCCGUGGGGAGCAGCAGCCACCCACAGGGAGCCUGACCUCUGGCCCAAGGGUGGGCUCUGAUGGGCCUACACUGACCCUUCUCCACGCUUUGCAGGGACCCCGUGCACAUUGCAGGCUCAGCCCGUGCUUCUGGCCUUUCCAGAGAACAAAGGGGGCUUCACCCAAGCACCGGCCUGACCUGUCCCUCUCCUGCAGCGCGCCCACCCUCCCAGCUCCCCCUAUUUCCCUCCCUGAGGUGGCCCCAGUCCACCAGGGAGCCCUUGUGGGCAAGGACCAUGCGACUUCAUGCUUGACCCCCAGUCCCCACACAGCACUGGCACCGGGCAGCGGGUGCCCAGGGGAUAGUGGGCAUUCGGGGUGGGAGCGAAUGAAGGUGGGGGAACGCCGACACAGACCAGCAAAAAGCGAGAUGGGUUUUGAGCCCGUGUCCCGACCUGUCCCCACUGCCUGCACGUGCCGCCUGAGAAAUCCCUUCUUGCCCCGGAGCCUGAGUUCCUUAUGUGUAAGGAUGAGGUCAUCACAGGUAAUCUGGGGUUCAGAGGGCCAAGCGGGUGUCAGCCAUCCUCUCGUGAACCUCCCGACUUACAGAAAAGGAGCAGAGGUCUGGAGCCAUGCAGGGCCUCCCACAGCAGGCGGGCGGAGGCUGCGACCAGACCAGCACUGCUGGGCUUCCAGCCCUGGGUGCACGUGGGCAGGCGCCCUGAGCCUGUGCGCCGUCUCUGAGAGCCAGUGCAUUAAAUGCAGGUGCCCCUCCCGCAGAGACUGAUCCAGGAGGUCUGAAUGGCCCCCGGAAGUGACUGUUUAAAGGGCUCCCUCCGACUCCCCACCUAAUGAUACUGAUGCGGGAACUCCCUGGCCGCAUUUUCAGACAGGCUGUGAAACCCCCAGCUGAGAGCCCAGACUUAGAGGGUGAAGGACAAUAAUAUGAAUAUAUUUCUAAUAACAGAGCAGAUACAGAUACACCCCGCCAUCUGCCAGUCACUCUUCUGAACCCUUUACGUGUUUCAUUCAUUAAAUUCUCAUGAUGAGACUUUUAGGUAGUGACUGCUACUGUUCUGAUUUUCCAGGUGAGGAAAUGAGGCAUAGAAAGUUUACUCUAUGCUGGGGCGCGGUGCCGCAUACCUGUAAUUCCAGUGGCUUGGGAGACUGAGGCAGGAGGAUCGCAGUUUCAAAGCCAGCCUCAGCAAUUAGUGAGGCACUAAGCAACUCA